UACGUAGGGUGCAAGCGUUGUCCGGAAUUAUUGGGCGUAAAGAGCUCGUAGGCGGUUCGGCACGUCGGCUGUGAAAACCUGAGGCUCAACCUCAGGCCUGCAGUCGAUACGGGCGGACUUGAGUACUGCAGGGGAGACUGGAAUUCCUGGUGUAGCGGUGAAAUGCGCAGAUAUCAGGAGGAACACCGGUGGCGAAGGCGGGUCUCUGGGCAGUAACUGACGCUGAGGAGCGAAAGCGUGGGGAGCGAACAGG
rnacentral:rRNA from 1 species